rnacentral:snRNA from 1 species
GUGUAAGGACAGUUUGGCUGCAACAUCUCCCACCCCUGCAUUGUCUCCCAUCGCCCACACUGUCAGACUGCUCUGAGACAACUAAGUGGGUGUCCCUUCUUCCCUUUCUCUUCAGUACACAUCCCUUCCAAAGCUGCCUGUGUAGUCAGAGAGAUGAUCUUUCCAAAUACUAGAAAGCCGUUCUUUGCUGAAGGGUAUAUAUGUAGCUGAAUUCCUCUGCUGGAGUUCCACAAAAGCUCUCAUGUUCAACUGUCUCACAGUUUACAAAGACACCAAAAUCAGCCUAUCCUAAGCUGAACUCACAAUCUUUA